UCAGAGUUUGGUGGAUGUGCAUA
rnacentral:siRNA from 1 species